rnacentral:rRNA from 1 species
ACACGACUCUCGGCAAUGGAUAUCUCGGCUCUCGCAUCGACGAAGAGCGCAGCGAAAUGCGAUACGUGGUGCGAAUUGCAGAAUCCCGCGAACCAUCGAGUCUUUGAACGCAAGUUGCGCCCGAGGCCAACCGGCCAAGGGCACGUCUGCCUGGGUGUCAAGC